CGGCGUAGCGGUGUUCGUUAAGUCACAGUCGGCCCAUAGCUGGAAUUAAGGAGCUCAGCCGCCUGGAAAAAGAGAAGAAAAAAACGUUUUGGCGGUUAAAUCAGUUGGGAUCCUCGAGGCUGCAGUCGUUCUUCGUUUUCAAGAGGAAUCAUUUCACGUGAAGAAGACAGCUAUAAAGAAUGCAGGAGGAAAGCCAAAGAGGGCAGGACCUGGUCAGACCUCCAGUCAGACUCGGAACUUCUUUAUCAUAGCCAUGCUGAGGGAGGUGCUGACUAAAUUAGAGAUGGUGCUGGACCAACAAACCACUGAGAUUACUUCAACUACAGGAGGUCCAGGUGCAGCCUUUGGAUAUUGAGAAAGGUUUACUGCCCCUGCAAGACCUUCCUCAAUGGCGUAGUCUGGAGCAAAGAAUGCAACAGAGUCCAGAUUACAAGCAAAAACUGUUGAGAUUUUUUUCUUUUUUGUUAACAAUUGCUUGCACAAUUACACAGCUACUAAAAGUGUUUCUUUUUUCUCAAAAGGACACACUCGUACUCAAAGCACAAUAUUCAACACCACUUUGAUAUGAAGGAACAGUUAUGACCUAAUCUUUGGUAGAGUAACUGCUGGAGUAGUGAGAAGCACUGAUACAGGUAAACUGGUUGCGCUUAUUGACGGGGAGGAUGUGCACGACUGCACCUUGCGCAUAUUGAAGAGGGUGAUUGCCACUCCCUGGCAAAGAACCGCAAUUGGAGGGGAGUCAAUUUCAAGACUUCACUGGCAACUCUCCAACUCGGAGAGGUCGUGAUUGCUGCAGUUCAAAGAAACUUCUUCACAGCUAAUGCUGCUGAGAUGGAGGUCGAGGGGACCAUGAAGAGGUGGCUCUAGCUGGCAUCAGAUCGAGAGUGUGGGCGCAAGAGAAGACUUUUGCAAAAGGAAGGUAUUUAGAGUGUUCUGUGCUUCUUCUUUUUU
ensembl:lncRNA